UAUCAAGGCCAAUCCUCAAAUCCAGAUCUUGUCAUUUCAGAAGCUAAGCAGGGCUGGACCUGGUUAGUACUUGGAUCAGAGACCACUGGGAACACCAAGUGGCUACAAUAG
rnacentral:rRNA from 1 species